CUAUACAUGACUCUGCGCAUAUCAAUAACGGAGGAAAAGAAACUAACAAGGAUUCCCUUAGUAACGGCGAGUGAAGCGGGAAGAGCUCAAAUUUGAAAUCUUAAAGGGUUUCCCUUUACGAAUUGUAGUUUAAAGAAGUGUUUUCUGUUGAGGUUUUGGUAAAAGUUCUUUGGAAUAGGACAUCAUAGAGGGUGAGAAUCCCGUAUUUGACCUUUACUUUCAACUUUGUGAUACACUUUCAAAGAGUCGGAUUGUUUGGGAAUGCAGUCCAAAAUGGGUGGUAAAUUUCAUCUAAAGCUAAAUAUUGGCGAGAGACCGAUCAGCGAACAAGUACCGUGAGGGAAAGAUGAAAAGAACUUUGAAAAGAGAGUUAAACAGUACGUGAAAUUGUCAAAAGGGAAGCGUUUGACACCAGUGUUGUUUUUCUGAAAAUCAAUUAAAGAACUGUUUAUGCUAAGUUGUUUAGACUUUAUCAGCUAACUGUUUAGUUUUGAGCUUUUCUUUAAUGCACUUUUCAGUUAACAAGUCAACAUCAAUUUCUUUUGCUGUAAAAAAGCUUGAGGAAGGUGGCUUGAGAUUCGUCUUAAGUGUUUAUAGCCUCUUGCCUAUGCAGUCGGAGAGAUUGAGGUCUGCAGCGUAGAUCCUUCGGGGCUAAAUGCAUUUGUGCUAAGUUAUAGCAUUUUAUAGACAACUUGUUGACUAUGAUUUGUCUUGUAGCUUACUCGCUUAUGUUAUUUUACCUACGCUUAGGAUGUUGACAGCAGUAUAGACUG
rnacentral:rRNA from 1 species